rnacentral:rRNA from 1 species
GACGUAGGGUGCAAGCGUUGUCCGGAUUUCUUGGGCGUAAAGAGCUCGUAGGCGGCUUGUUGCGUCGACUGUGAAAACCCGCGGCUUAACCGCGGGCUUGCAGUUGAUACGGGCAGGCUAGAGUUCGGUAGGGGAGACUGGAAUUCCUGGUGUAGCGGUGAAAUGCGCAGAUAUCAGGAGGAACACCGGUGGCGAAGGCGGGUCUCUGGGCCGAUACUGACGCUGAGGAGCGAAAGCCAGGGGAGCAAACGGG